UAGUCCACGCCGUAAACGAUGUCAACUAGCCGUUGGGGGGCUUGACCCUUUAGUGGCGCAGCUAACGCAAUAAGUUGACCGCCUGGGGAGUACGGCCGCAAGGUUAAAACUCAAAUGAAUUGACGGGGGCCCGCACAAGCGGUGGAGCAUGUGGUUUAAUUCGAUGCAACGCGAAGAACCUUACCAGGUCUUGACAUCCUGAAAACUUUCUAGAGAUAGAUUGGUGCCUUCGGGAAUUCAGUGACAGGUGCUGCAUGGCUGUCGUCAGCUCGUGUCGUGAGAUGUUGGGUUAAGUCCCGUAACGAGCGCAACCCUUGUCCUUAGUUACCAGCGCGUUAUGGCGGGGACUCUAGCAAGACUGCCGGCGUAAGCCGCGAGGAAGGUGGGGACGACGUCAAAUCAUCAUGGCCUUUAUGCCUAGGGCUACACACGUGCUACAAUGGUGCAUACAGAGGGUAGCGAAGCAGCGAUGCGGAGCCAAUCUCAGAAAGUGCAUCCC
rnacentral:rRNA from 1 species